rnacentral:rRNA from 1 species
UACGAAGGGGGCUAGCGUUGCUCGGAAUUACUGGGCGUAAAGGGCGCGUAGGCGGUUCUAUAAGUCAGGCGUGAAGUUCCUGGGCUUAACCUGGGGGCUGCGCUUGAGACUGUGGGACUUGAGGUCAGAAGAGGGUCGUGGAAUUCCCAGUGUAGAGGUGAAAUUCGUAGAUAUUGGGAAGAACACCGGUGGCGAAGGCGGCAUCCUGGACCGAAACUGACACUGAGGCGCGAAAGCCAGGGGAGCAAACGGG